rnacentral:rRNA from 1 species
UACGUAGGAGGCAAGCGUUAUCCGGAUUUACUGGGCGUAAAGCGGGCGUAGGCGGCCUGUCCAGUCAGAUGUGAAAUCUCCCGGCUAAACUGGGAGGGGACAUUUGAUACUGAUGGGCUGGAGUGCAGCAGAGGGAAGCGGAAUUCCCGGUGUAGUGGUGAAAUGCGUAGAUAUCGGGAGGAACACUAGUGGCGAAGGCGGCUUUCUGGGCUGUUACUGACGCUGAGGUCCGAAGGCGUGGGGAGCAAACAGGAUUAGAUACCCGCGUA